rnacentral:rRNA from 1 species
AUCGGAACGUACCCAAGAGUGGGGGAUAACGUAGCGAAAGUUACGCUAAUACCGCAUACGAUCUAUGGAUGAAAGCAGGGGACCGCAAGGCCUUGUGCUCCUGGAGCGGCCGAUAUCUGAUUAGCUAGUUGGUGAGGUAAAGGCUCACCAAGGCCACGAUCAGUAGCUGGUCUGAGAGGACGACCAGCCACACUGGAACUGAGACACGGUCCAGACUCCUACGGGAGGCAGCAGUGGGGAAUUUUGGACAAUGGGCGCAAGCCUGAUCCAGCAAUGCCGCGUGAGUGAAGAAGGCCUUCGGGUUGUAAAGCUCUUUUGUCAGGGAAGAAACGGUAGAGGCUAAUAUCCUUUGCUAAUGACGGUACCUGAAGAAUAAGCACCGGCUAACUACGUGCCAGCAGCCGCGGUAAUACGUAGGGUGCAAGCGUUAAUCGGAAUUACUGGGCGUAAAGCGUGCGCAGGCGGUUUUGUAAGUCUGUCGUGAAAGCCCCGGGCUCAACCUGGGAAUUGCGAUGGAGACUGCAAGGCUUGAAUCUGGCAGAGGGGGGUAGAAUUCCACGUGUAGCGGUAAAAUGCG